rnacentral:rRNA from 1 species
UGGGGAAUUUUUCGCAAUGGGCGCAAGCCUGACGAAGCAACGCCGCGUGGAGGAUGAAGGUCUUCGGAUUGUAAACUCCUGUCGACCGGGACGAAUGCACCCAACCUAAUACGUUGAAGUGUUGACGGUACCGGUGGAGGAAGCCACGGCUAACUCUGUGCCAGCAGCCGCGGUAAUACAGAGGUGGCAAGCGUUGUUCGGAAUUACUGGGCGUAAAGGGCGCGUAGGCGGCCCUAUAAGUCUCGUGUGAAAGCCCUCGGCUUAACUGAGGAUCUGCACGGGAUACUGUAGGGCUCGAGUUCGGGAGAGGAAAGCGGAAUUCCGGGUGUAGCGGUGAAAUGCGUAGAUAUCCGGAGGAACACCAGUGGCGAAGGCGGCUUUCUGGACCGACACUGACGCUGAGGCGCGAAAGCUAGGGGAGCAAACGGGAUUAGAUACCCCCGUAGUCCCUGAGCGGGCUGGCAAGGCGCAU